rnacentral:tRNA from 1 species
GGCUCAGACGGUAAAGCAUCUGCCUGCAAUGCGGGAGAUCCAGGUUCGAUUCCUGG